rnacentral:rRNA from 1 species
GACGGACGCUGGCGGCGUGCCUAAUACAUGCAAGUUGAGCGCUGAAGGUUGGUACUUGUACCAACUGGAUGAGCAGCGAACGGGUGAGUAACGCGUGGGGAAUCUGCCUUUGAGCGGGGGACAACAUUUGGAAACGAAUGCUAAUACCGCAUAAAAACUUUAAACACAAGUUUUAAGUUUGAAAGAUGCAAUUGCAUCACUCAAAGAUGAUCCCGCGUUGUAUUAGCUAGUUGGUGAGGUAAAGGCUCACCAAGGCGAUGAUACAUAGCCGACCUGAGAGGGUGAGCGGCCACAUUGGGACUGAGACACGGCCCAAACUCCUACGGGAGGCAGCAGUAGGGAAUCUUCGGCAAUGGACGAAAGUCCGACCGAGCAACGCCGCGUGAGUGAAGAAGGUUUUCGGAUCGUAAAACUCUGUUGGUAGAGAAGAACGUUGGUGAGAGUGGAAAGCUCAUCAAGUGACGGUAACUACCCAGAAAGGGACGGCUAACUACGUG